CAGGAUGCACCUGAGCUCAAUUUCGAGUCUCAUCGCAAAGGGACUGAAUACUUAUGUAAAUAAAGGUAUUUCUGUUUUUUAUAGAUUUGCAAAAAUGUAUCUAAACCUGUUUUCUCUCUGUCAUCAUGGGCUUUUGUUUAAGCUUGGUGACGAUUAUUAUUUAUUUUUAAAAUCCAUUUUAGAAUGAGGCUGAAUAAUACUUUCUGAAAGCACUGAAUACCUGGAUAACCAGACGUCUAAGGUCUAAGGUCACCUGGAUAACCAGACGUCUAAGGUCACCUGGAUAACCAGACGUCUAAGGUCACCUGGAUAACCAGACGUCUAAGGUCUAGACUCGCUAGUUAAUCAGUUAUAUGAAUGGAUCAGUUAAGUACCACGGAGAGAUGAAGAGGCUCCUAGUAGUACUAGUACUAGUGCUAGUAGUACUAGUUGUAGCUGGGGUGUAGAGCCCUCAGUUGUCCAUCCCUACUAGGGUUGCCAAACUCCAGGAACUUGUUUUUCCAGACAUCCUGGUUGGAGGAUUCACAGAAUCUGAAGAGAAUAAGAAGGAAAUCUGGAGCCCUCCAACCAGGAUUUCUGGAAAACCAGGCAAUUUAUUGAAAGUUCCUGGAGUUUUGCAACCCUUUCCCUACUCUAAGCAGACAUGGCGUGUACUCUACAUCAUCGGUACUUGGUCUCUAAAUCCAUGAACUGAGGGAAGACUAAGAAUUCCAUUCUUAUUGUGUUUCAUACACAGUUUAUAUUUGUUGUAUUUGAGUCGUAUGUCUUCAUCUGCACAAUGUGUUUAUUGUUGUAUUUUUCGGUCGUAUGUCUUCAUCUGCACAAUGUGUUUAUUGUUGUAUUUGAGUCGUAUGUCUUCAUGUGCACAAUGUGUUUAUUUGGUUUUAUUGGUCCAAACUAAAUAUACUGUAAGUCUA